UCAAUUCCCAUAUUAUUAUCAAUAGGGUCAUCCCACCAAAACAGUCCCUUCAUUUUUCUCUCUUCCUUUUCCUUUUGGAUCUCCUUGCUUCUCUUUUUUUCUUCCUCAAGUUUCUCCAAUGUCUCUCGGCUCUCCUCGUUGAACUCUUCGAGACAUGGAGCAAUGUCGUCACCAGACAUCAUCAAACCAUCAGCAUGGUUAGGGUUUUUGCUAAGGUAACGCUCCAAUAUCAUGUCGAUAUCGGGGUGACCAAAGCAAAACGGCUUUCCUUUGGGAGAGAACACGAUGAUGCCGAUGUUGCAACCGCAUAAAAUGCAAAGCUCGCUCGCUUUCUUGAACAAACCAUUGCGGCGCUUGGAGAAAGUCACUUGGCGGCUGCUUUCGUUUUCGAGUUUCUUUAUCUGAAUCUUUUGGCGACCCCUCGUUGCCUUAGUGGUGGUGUUGCUGCUUCUGGUUUGAUUUAGAGAUGCCAUUGUUAUAUCCUACGUAUGUCUUAGAAAAAAAAUGGUAUUCUUCUGAAAGGAAGAAAAUGUAUAAGAUUAUAUCCAAAUUAAAGCAAUUAUAUAUAUGGUAAGUUGAAUUUUUAGGAGAAUCGGUCCAAAUUUUCAACUUAGUAUUAAAUAAUAUCCUAAAAUUAUUAUCUCAAUAUUCUCUUUUCAAACUAUAUAAGUAAGGUUAAUAAUAUCAAUUAGUAUAAUGAUCAUAUUUUGUUCACUUUUUCUUCUUUAAAUGUUACUCAAAAAUAUCAAAUUAAUUUUUACUUGGGGCGGGUGCUGUGUGUUUAGCAGUCAAAUGAAUUGGUUCUUUCUUUUUUUUUCUCAGCAACCAAACAAGCUAAGAAAUCUGAAAGGAAAGUGAAAAAGAUAUAACCUUGAACUGAAACUAGUGUUUGGCUUUUGAGUCAAAGCAGUCAAAUGAAAUUACUCAAAUUCACCCUGGGGCACGUCAUAUAACACCCAUUACUCUGUUUUGUACCUUCAAGCUAGAUCUCGCAUGUGUUUUUCCCUUGGGGUUAGCCGCUUAGCUCAUUUAAGCAGGGUUUAAUGGUUAACAAAGACCUCCAUGGCAGCAACAGAGAAGCUUUCAUCUCUUUUCCCUUUGUUGUCGCUCAUUUGCUUCAUCUCUUUCUUUCUUCUUCUCUCUAUUUCCAGAAAAGCCUCCAUUUCCUCCUCCACAACUCAUCCCCAAUUCCUCCGUUUUAAACCCAUCGACGCCAAUCUCACCACCCGAUCAGACCCAUCUGCAACCGGCGAUUCUUCAUGCGGUUACUCCGAUGGGUCAUGGGUUUACGACCCAAAUGCGGGAUUUGAUCGAUACGACAGUAGCUGCAAGGAGAUAUUCAAAGGAUGGAAUUGCAUUUUGAACAACAAAUCCAACGGUAGAGACAUCAUUAAGUGGCGAUGGAAGCCUCGUAACUGUGAUCUCCCACCGUUCGAUCCCCUCCAGUUUCUUCCCACUUACAGAGAUACCAACAUUGGUACUUACCCAUCUCUCUGUCUCAAAGUUAGUUAAUUUAAAGCAAAUUAGGCCUUAAUCAAUAUUCAACAGUGCAGGGUUUAUUGGUGAUUCCUUAAACAGAAACAUGUUUGUAUCUUUGUUUUGUACUUUGAAACGUGUGUCCAAUGAUGUGAAGAAAUGGCGUCCUGCUGGAGCUGAUCGUGGCUUUACUUUCCUUCACUAUAAUCUCACCAUUGCUUAUCAUAGAACUAAUCUUUUGGCACGCUAUGGUAGGUAAGCUGCUUUGAAUCAUUUAGAUAAAUUCCAAUUUAGUUUCUUUUUGUUUGUAUUUCGUGGUAGGAACUGUAUUGUUCUUGAUUGUGUUUAAUGCAGAUGAUCAGCUAAUGGAAAUGGUGGUAAGUUAGAAGCUCUUGGAUAUAAAGAAGGUUAUAGAGUUGAUGUUGAUGUUCCAGAGAGCACAUGGGAAAAGGCUCCAAGCUUCCAUGAUAUACUAAUCUUUAACACAGGACACUGGUUAGCCUUUUUCCCACUUCCAUUAAAAUGUUGUAGAUCUUUUGGUGCCAAUAAUAUUAUGGUACCAUACCUUUUUGCACUAUUUUGUUGUUUUUAGCAUUUGGAUCCGGUUUUCAUGGUAGAUGAAAAUGACCAGAAGUAGAUUUUAAUGACAUGAAAACAAACUGUCAAAGUUGGACGCAUUUUCAAAUUAUGUGCAAAUAUCAAACUUUUUGGCUCAAGCUGUGUAACUUGUGGUUGUGUUAUAAUAUUAUGUUGGUUGCUUCUUUUGUUGCCAAUAGUAUGGUAGAAUUCCUUUAUGUUCUUGUUUGUUGUUCCUAAGUUGUUUUCUAGCAUUUAUAUCCUUUUUUCAUGUGUUGAACGAAAAUGACCAAAAGAUGAUUUUAAUGGUGGUUUUUGAGUUAUAUGCAAUCAUCAAAGCUUUUUGACUGAAGCUAUGUAAGUUGAGGUUGUUUUAUAAUAUUAUGUUGAUUGCUUGUUGAGGUAUUUUGGUGCCAAUAGUAUGGUAGCAUACCUUUAUGUUAUUGUUUGUUGUUCCUAAAUUGUUUUUUAGCAUUUCAAUCCCAUUUUCAUGUUGAAUGAGAACAACCAAAAGUUUAUUUUAAUGUGGUUUUUGAGUUAUACGCAAUCAUCAAAGCUUUUUGGCUCAAGCUGUGGGACUUGUGGUUGUUUGUUGAGAAAUUCUUGGUGCCAAUAGUAUGGUAGCACACCUUUAUGUUCUUGUUUGUUGUUCCCAAGUUGGUUUUUAGCAUUUCAGUCCUAUUUUCAUGUAAAAUGAAAAUAACCAAAAGUGCAUCUCAACGACAUGACAAAUUGCCAUGGUUGGAUGUGGUUUUCAAGUUAUAUGCAAUCAUCAAAGCUUGUUUGGCUCAAGCUGUGUAACUUGAGGUUGUCUUAUAAUAUUAUGUCGGUCGUUUCUUGAGAUCCUUUGGUGCCAAUAGCAUGGUAGCAUGCAUGCCUUUAUGUUCUUGUUUGUUGUUCCUAAGUUGUUUUUUACAAUUUUGAUCCUAUUUCAUGUUCAAUGAAAACGACCAAAAGUUUGUUUUAAUGUGGUUUUUGAGUUAUAAGCAAUCACCAAAGCUUUUUGGCUCAAGCUGUGUAACUUGUGGUUGUUUUAUAAUAUUAUGUUGAUUGCUAGUUGAGGUCUUUUGGUGGCAAUGGUAUGUUUUUUAGCAUUUCGAUCCUAUUUUCAUGUUGAAUGAAAACGACCAGAAGUGUUGGAUGUGUUUUUCGAGUUAUAUGCCCUUAUCAAAUCUUUUUGGCUCAAGCUGUGUAAUUUCUGGUUGUUUUGUAAUAUUAUGUUGGUUGUUUGUUGAGAUCUUUUGGUGCCAAUAGCCUGGUAGCAUGCAUGCCUCUAUGUUCUUAUUUUUUGUUCCUAAGUUGUUUUCUAGCAUUUUGAUCCUAUUUCCAUGUUGAAUGAAUUGGCCAAAAGUGGAUUUUAAUGACAUGACAAAUUGCCGUUGUUGGAUGUGGUUUUCGAGCUAUAUGCAACCAUCAAAGCUUUUUGUCUCAAGCUAUCUAACUUGUGUUAUAUAUUUAAGUUGGUCCCUGGCCACAAUUUCUUGUUAUUCUAGUCCAUAUAUUUCCAUUGCUGUAAUCAUAGAUUUCCUGACAUAGAUUAACCAUUUUGAUUGUUCUUUAAUAGGUGGUGGGCUCCUUCGAAAUUUGACCCAGUUAAGUCACCCUUGCUUUUCUUUGAAAAGGGUCUACCUGUAAUCCCUCCCAUACCUCCUGAUCUUGGCUUGGAUAAGGUUUUAAAUCACGUGGUAUGUUAUUGCAAAUGGUGUUUGCUACUAUUGUUUUUACAACGCUCAGCUUACCUUCUUAGUUCUUACUGAUCAUCAAUUGGCAGAUACGGUUUGUGGAGAAAACCAUGCGACCGGAUGCAAUUAAAUUGUUUCGCACGCAAUCACCAAGGCAUUUUGAAGGUGGUGAUUGGGACCAAGGUGGUUCUUGUCAGCGGUUACAGCCUUUGUUACCCGAACAAGUUAGUAUCUUUCAUUUGGCCAAAAAAUUGUUCAUCUGUUGGUUUGUGUCCACUCCGGACCAAGGCUGAAUUGAUUAUAUCCGUUUUCAGGUGGAAAAUCUCUUCUCGUUGAAAAACAACGGGACAAAUGUGGAGACAAGGCUUGUGAAUCAGCACAUAUACAACGCCCUCAAGGGGUCUAACGUCCACAUCUUAGAUAUUACCCGCAUGAGUGAGUUCAGAGCUGAUGCUCACCCUUCCACAGCCGGAGGAAAGAAACACGAUGACUGCAUGCAUUGGUGCUUGCCGGGAGUUACAGAUACAUGGAACGACCUGUUUGUAACACAUUUAAACAGUCUUAAAAUUUGAAACUGAUUGUAUUAUUACUAAACAUAUUUUUGUUCGGUACAUUUUCGGUUAGGAUCGGUUUGGAAUUCAAGUCAUUUGAGUCAUCUCGGAUUCAGGUUUGAGUCAUUAGGACUGUACAAAUGCCAAAGAACUGAUGUUUAUCUACCAAAUAGUCCCAAUCCCAAAAACAUGUGUAACCAACUCAUCGGGUUCGUUGUUAUUACAAAAAACAACCUAAAACGACAGCACCCCCAACCAAAUCCAUAUUAGACGACAAAGUUUAGGGUUGGCUGCCUCAGCUCUUUCCUUGGCUUUUUGAUAGAAAAGCCGACAAGCAUCCAUGAUUAGAAUCCGUAGCCGUAGCCAAUGCCACAAAAGCUGCUGCAUCCUCCCUGCAUGUCACGUGGUGCAACCCUACUUAUUUCCACUUCCGGUUUGGGCUGUUGCUGGUUUUUUGUGAUUGAAUAAAAGGGAUUGUUGGCAUUUGGUGAGGGAAGUGUCUUGAGCUUGAUCUUACAAUAACAUGGACAAGUAGAAGAAAGUGAGGACCUUGAAAUUUCAGGGCCGAAUGGACCCAUUGUUUUUUCUUUUUAUUUUUCCUAGUUUUGGUGGGAGAGUUUAGCUUCCAAUAUCAACUUGUGAGUUACUAACUGUCCAGGUUACUGUCUAAGUUCAUCCAAAAUUUGGAAGAGUUUGAACAAAAAUAUUAAAUUUGGAAAAUGGACUUGGGCAAAGACAAUAAUGGGUUGGGCAAUGGGAGUUGAUUGUUAAGCCAUCAUCAUAUUGAAUACAACCAACGAGUAAUACAAUGAAGACGACAAGUUGUUUCUAUGCUACACCUUUGUCGUUUACAGACCACUUCCGUCUCUUUCUCCUUUCAGAUUCGGUUUUUGUAACAAUCUUCAUGUGAGGAUUCAUAAUUUUUUUUGCUCUAAGACCAUGUCAUAGAGCUCUCAACACACCACACGUAUUGCUUGAUAUAUUUAAUUGUUACAAUGUCAAUGUGCCUUGGAAUCGUGGGUUGUCGACCAACCCCGCAACUCAUCUGGUUUAUAACUCUGACCACACAAAGUAUCGGUUCGAGCCGAAACUCAUCUCUUAAUCUAGUGGUAUUGGAUGAAUUUUUCAUAGGUUUGAAUCAUAAUUGUGAUGUGUAAUUUAGAAACUCGAGUUAAAAGUGUGUAAAUUAAUUGUAAAAUUACCUAAAAUAAUAAUAAUUUUAUCAUGAUUCAUAAUUUAUAAAAAAAAACAUAAAAUAAAAAUUGAAAACCAAGAUGAUAGUAAUCUAAUUGUUUAAGUUUACUAAGUAAGCAAAUAAUAUUUUCAUGUGCCGAUUGAGUCUUAGUUUGAUUGGUAUGGACAUUAUGUAGGGGGACGUAGCUGCACUAAAACACAUUAUUCUCCUAUUUAUGAGUUGGGGAAGGGCCAUGGGUAGUUCUAAACAUUGUGUCAAAAAAAAAAUAGAUACGAUCCGAACCUCUAAUGUGCUUGUUCAAAACAAAUAUUUUCACGGAUAAGCGUGAUUUAGAUAAUAAAAACUUUAAAAUGUUUCCAAAUAAAAUAAUUUUAUUAUUAUAUUUGAAAAAGGAAAAUACAUCAUUAAAAAUAAGGACUGAUUUUUUGUAUCAACAUAUUGACAUUAAAUCUUUUGUGCAUCUAAAGAUUUCUUAAGAAAUAUAAGAAAAAAACAAUACAAAUCAUAUAAAAUUUCUCUUAUUCAAUGCAAAAUCACUUUUAAGAUUCUCUGAAAUAUAUUAUUGAGCAAUAUUAAUACCGAAAUUAUCAACUUUAUGAUAAAAAUAUGAAUAAAUAAAUAAAAUUAUACAAAAUUACGGGUGGGUUUAGAUGGACGGUUGGGUGCGUGCAUUAGGUGCUGUACAUUUAGCUUACUUUUUGACCCAUACUAUAAUAUCUAAUCUUACAACCACCGUUAUUUUUACACUAAUCGCAGGUAAACUCACCACCCGUCUAAACCUACCCUAUACAAACAAAGAUGUAAAGCUACAAAAUAAUGCAGUUAAAGGUAUAAAAAAAAACUAGCUUCAUUUAUAUAUGAUCAUAUAUAGAUCUAUAUUGUUCAUAAAAUAAUUAAAAACUAAGCAGAUUAAGUUUAUAACGUAAAAUAAUAGCCACAGACAUACCUUCAAUGAUGAAUAGAGAAUAUUUAAUAAUCCAAGUCAUGACCAUGACCAAAAUUAAAACCUUCAACACCUAGAUUGAAAUCCCCGUACCCGCCGGUGUCUCCGACGGCAAAGCCACUGUUUUGGACGGCGAAACCGUUGCCCAAACCAUCAGGAUUAGCCACCGUCAUGGCAGUCGACAUGGCAAAAACAUCUCCCAUCAAUGUACUAGCCCUAUUAGCCACAUUAUUCCUUAACUCCUCCAAGGCUUUAGCAUAUGCUUCAAGUUCCUCAAUUCCCAUAUUAUUAUCAAUAGGGUCAUCCCACCAAAACAGUCCCUUCAUUUUUCUCUCUUCCUUUUCCUUUUGGAUCUCCUUGCUUCUCUUUUUUUCUUCCUCAAGUUUCUCCAAUGUCUCUCGGCUCUCCUCGUUGAACUCUUCGAGACAUGGAGCAAUGUCGUCACCAGACAUCAUCAAACCAUCAGCAUGGUUAGGGUUUUUGCUAAGGUAACGCUCCAAUAUCAUGUCGAUAUCGGGGUGACCAAAGCAAAACGGCUUUCCUUUGGGAGAGAACACGAUGAUGCCGAUGUUGCAACCGCAUAAAAUGCAAAGCUCGCUCGCUUUCUUGAACAAACCAUUGCGGCGCUUGGAGAA
rnacentral:lncRNA from 1 species